ACCAGCCUAACUCCAUGAUUUUCGGAUCUUCCCCACCUUUCUUUCUCUAGGCCCCAGAUUGAGAAGAACGGAUCCGUAGCAACUGCCACCGCUCCUCCCUUCCCCUCCGUGCGCUGCCAUCUCAUCCACCCCGAGUCGACCCCGCCUCCGGUCGCGGCCCACUCUCCUGCAAGCUGCGACGACAUCCUCGCCGGUCAGCCACACCCUGCGCCCUCCUCCUCCCUUCUCUCUCCCUCUCCUCGCUAAUCUCUCUCCCUGUCUCUGUUGGACCUUCCCUCGUGACUGUCGGCCUUCCUCCUGACUAGAUCAACGACGGCGACGACCGGAUUUCCCACGCUGCCAUGGCUAAGACACACCGCGCAUUCGCCCCACUUCCCAGCAAACGCCGCCGCCCCUUCCCUUCCGAUCCACCCCGACUAAACCUGUCGCCACCACGCACGCGAGCCACAGCAGGGACGCGCGAGGAGGAGUUGCGGCUUCCUCCGGGCACACACGUGCCGUUGCAGACGGCCUCUCCUGGAGCGUCGGUCGCCGUCGCCGCCUGCCGCUCGGCUUCUACCCCACAGGCGCCACGUCCAGGAACUCCCCUCCGCCGCUGCCGGGUGGGUCAAAAUCACUGCUAUCGCCGUGUCCCGCCCCGUUCCGUUCAUGCUCCGACGCGAUCCUGAUGCCUCUGCACAAAUCCUUUUCUGUACGGAGUAUUGGCCAUCGGAUUUGGACUCUGGGAGCUUUCAAUCGUGGAUGCUUGUUUCCGUACGGAGUAAUGACAUUUUUUAACUGACGGAUUGAUCCAUGUAAUUAGGUUUCUAGCCCAAUCUUUCCAUAUAGUUGUAUCUGACUUAUACUGAAUUCUUUAGUGUCACUGUAUAUAAUAUAGAUAUUCAUGCACUGUUCGAAUGUCCGGUCAAUGUCUGGUCUAUGUACAACCCUCUAAAAUUCUUUUAUAGCUAGACAUGUCUGAAACAUCAUUUGUCAAGACACACUGUUAGUUAAUCAAUUUAGUCUGAAACAUCAUUUGUCAGAACACAAUGACUUGCAGGUGUUAAGAUGUUAAAACAAAAUUAUUUGCACAUGCAUGCAGGUUUGUAAGUUCAAAAAAUAGUAUCAUACUGAAACGGGGCAACAACAUUAUGCUUAGGACAUGAAACAUGGACAACCCAUUUUUAGUGGCAAUACUUUGUGUAAUCAAACAACAUAGGAUCACUCUGCACCAAGCAGAUGGUAGUUCUAGCGGAGGAUGCACCAGGAGAAUCAACCAAGCAGAAUUAAGCACCAUAAUUUUCUAUGUACACACUUUGCUGUAAAAGAUUUUGUACAUGACAAUGAAAAGGUUGAAUAUGAAUAGAUUGGCAAGGCAAAAAUCUUUGGUGUCAAUACUGACAAAUAAAGCAGCCUAUCAUGAAAAUGAGACAUCUUUAUUGUCAAGUUUAUAGUCAUCAAGUGGUCCUACAUUUCCUGAUUGUUUGUGUGUUCCCGCUUGAUUUGUGUACCACAAUAGAUAAUCUGAUUUUGAUUUAUCCGAGGAUUUGUCCCAGUUCAACUCAGCAUUUUACCAACAUCAGAUCUCUCUGUGGUCCUUUGAUCAUAGUUUUAUUUGCUUUUAUGCACCAGGUUUAUCAUUUAGCAUUUCUCAUUCAUUGGCCCUUAAAACAUACUCCCUCCGUCAGGAAAUACUUGUCUUCAAAAUGGAUAAAAGAAGAUGUAUCUAGAUGUAUUUUAGUUGUACAUACAUCUCUUUUUAUCCAUUUUGAUGACAAGUAUUUUCGGAUGGAGGGAGUAUAUUAGGAAUUUAGGAUUGUUGAACUUAUAAGCAUUGAUUGCAGGAUUGUCUCUAGGUGCAAUAGUCGAUCAAGCACGUGCAGUUUUUGAGAGUGAAGUCAGAAGAAUAGCUUCGUACUACUUCUGUGGUUGAGGUUUCAACAGAUUGAUUUCAACAGAGGGAUGCUGGUGCAGUGACCAUAUCUAUGGUAAGGCAUAUGGAGUAAAAUUAAGGGUUGAUACCUUUUUUGUUCUACUGAAAUUUUACCCGUAUAAAGAAACUUCGUAUCAUAUACUAAGAGGAGAAAUUUUAGUCUUCAGUUCCAGACAUUUAACAGUGAUCUGAGAGGUUCUAGACUGGACUACAAACUAAUCUCAGCUAUGUCUGAAUGUAGUGCAAGGAAUUUUGCUUCUUGCAGCUGCAGGACCAUGCGAUGUCGAACACGAAAAGGACACACCAAGGUCCCAGCCAAGUCAGUGAUGUUGCCCCGACUCCCUAUUUCUUCAGCUUGAGGAAGCUGUGGCAGCCUGACUCUCUCUGCCUAUUGUCAUCCUAUCUGACCUGCUACUAGGCAACUACUACUACUCACGCUUGAUAGAUGCUGUGUUGCAUACGACUGAGCAGUCUCGGCUAUACUUCAACCCAGACAUCAACGAAGCAAAUAACUUGAUUAUAUGGUUCAGGGAGCUCCGGCGCUUGCUCCGAGCAAAGAAGUCUUUCUUGGUAUAAAGUUCUAACCUCAGAUGUUGGGGUAUUUGAAAGUUAACUCUUUGAUUUUGAGUAAUUCUAAGAGAAUACAUCUUAUCGAUCAGAACUAUGCUCUCCUAAACCUGAAUGAACCAGACGUGGGAAGACAACUGAGUUUCGGUUGUGGUGUUUCAACAUGAGUUUCGAGUGUUAAUGCUCUGGUGAUGCGAGGAGGUGAAGCUGUAUGCUACCAGAUCGCAGAUAUUUCUUGGUAUAUAUGCAUUUAAAGAAAAGAUGGAUGUGUGUGUGUGACUGUGAUAGAUGGUUCUACUGGUAUCUUGUUGGAUAUAUAACAAGAAGCGUUGGCAAGACAGACAUCCACUUUUUAAGUGGCAUCAUAGUGGGCUGAGAACUUGUUGAUGAAGCCAAUGAUUGGGUUGACUGUAGUGAUAGGGCAUUAGACGUAAUGCUAGAUGUAACCCCAGACAAUCCAUGAGACCACAGUUCGACUC